rnacentral:rRNA from 1 species
AAAUUAUUAUUUUGUUGUUGUAUUGUUAUUGAUUUAAUUUUUUUUGUUAUAGUUUAUUUGUACUGUAGGGGUUAAUUAUUUUAUUUUUGUAAGCUGACUUUCUUUGUUGUACCUUGUGUAUCAGGGUUUAUUAAAUUUUGAUAUUUAUAUUUCAGUUCCCGAAUUUGGAAGAGUUAUUAGUUAAUUUCAGUUACUGUUUCAUUAGUAUUGGUAAUUAGUUAAUGGUAGUGAUAUGUUAUUCGUUUCUGAGGAUAUCUGGUUCCUUGAGAAAUAAAUUUAAUUUACAUUCUUUAUUUAGUUCCCCUUUUUUAGGGUUUAUUUUAUAUGGGAUGAAUAUUUUGGGGGAUAAGCUCCAGAUUAUAUUUUUAUAACUUUAUUUAUUGUUAGUAUAUUGUGGGCUUUAUGUUAGCCAUUAAUUUGAGUAUAUUAAAAUUUUAUUCUUUCGUUCCUUGAUUUUUGUGAUGUUUAAUUUUUUAUUAGGGUUUUUGGUGUAAUUAUUUAUCUGUUGUAAUUGUGAUGGAAUUAGUAAUUUUUUUUCUUAUUUAGUUUAUGUAUUUAUAGGUUCUUUAGAGGAACUAGGCAAGAAAAUGGUGCUCGCCUGUUUAACAAAAACAUCUCUUCUUGUUUGGUUAAUUUGAGGUAGGGCCUGCCCACUGAUUUAUUGAAGGGCCGCGGUAUCUUGACCGUGCAAAGGUAGCAUAAUCAUUAGUUUUUUAAUUGUGAACUAGUAUGAAUGGUUUGACGAGGUGCCAACUGUCUUUAUUGGAAGAUAUUGAAUUUGGGAUUUGGGUAAAAAUACCUAAAUUUUUUUAUGGGACGAGAAGACCCUAUAGAGUUUUAUAAAAUUGUGUUGAUUGUUGGUUUGUUUUGGUUUUGUUGGUGAAUUUUAUUUUGUUGGGGUGAUGGGAAGAUAACAUUAACUCUUCUUGAUUUUUUUAUACUAAUUUGUAAAUUGUUGAUCCUUUAUUGUGGAUUAUAAGAUUAAAUUACCUUAGGGAUAACAGCGUAAUCUUUUUUGAGAGUUCUUAUCGACAAAAGGGUUUGCGACCUCGAUGUUGGAUUAGGAUAAAUUUUUGGCGUAGAAGCUUUAUUUUGUUAAUUAGGUCUGUUCGACCUUUAUAAUCUUACAUGAUCUGAGUUCAAACCGGCGUGAGCCAGGUUGGUUUCUAUCUAUAAUUUUUUUUAUUUUUCUUAGUACGAGAGGACCAGAGAUUUGGAAUAAUUUUGUUUAUGGUGAAUAAUAUUAAUU